ACGGGGCGAGCCCCCGUGUCCCUGCACCUGGCGAGCACUUUCUCAGAAGAGAGUCCCAUAAAGCCCCGGUGCUCUCACACCGAGAGGGCGGCACACUUCCGAAGAGAAUGACUAAGACACCGUCAUCGUUAUGGGCUCGAUCCCAUGACCCCCAGGAUCAUGACCUAAGCUGAAUCAAGAGUUGGGAUACUCAACCGACUGAGCCACCCAGGCAAGAAAGCAGAUUUUGAGAGGAAAAAAAAAAAAUUCCAAGGACAUUUCCAACACAAAUGAACGGUAAUGAGGAAAAAAGCCUAUCACUCAGGAAUAACCACUGGUGACACUCUGCAUAGACGGUAUUUAACCAAUCCCCUGCUGUAAGACUUCUACGUGGUUUCCACUCUUCCUGCCCAUCUCAACACCCCCGGGCACACACUCCGGCAUGCCCUUUAUCAUCCCCUGAGCACACGUUCUCAGAGCGGAACUGCUGGAUCUAGAUACCGGGUCCCCUCCUCAGUUACUUCACUCACGAGGGACCAAUGAGACAACGUGUGCCUCGGGCGUCAUCGCUGCAGGCCCCGUGGCCCGGCCUGGCCCGGCUAACUCAUCGCCCUGUGAGGGGCUCGCCUGACGCCGAGGCCCAGGGGCGUCACACGACUUGCCCGAAGCCUGAAACCCGGCACCGAGCUCCGCUGCUGGACCCCGACCCCUCCUCCCGGUGGCCUCGGUCGCGGGCGCGCCUCCCGCAGCAGGCAUGCGGGACGUGGGGCCAGCCGUCCUGAGGCCGGGCCCUGACCGCGGGCAGAAAGGCACACGUCCACGGCCAGACACCAGAGCAUCGCUUCCAGGCACGCUCGGAACGUGGCCCCAGGUGUCUCAGGGCAGCGGCCCCGGCCCACCGUUUUCCUUCUUUGUCUGGUAAUAAAUAAACACACAAACA